GAUGAACGCUAGCUACAGGCUUAACACAUGCAAGUCGAGGGGCAGCAUGAUUGAAGCUUGCUUCAAUUGAUGGCGACCGGCGCACGGGUGAGUAACACGUAUCCAACCUUCCGUACACUCAGGGAUAGCCUUUCGAAAGAAAGAUUAAUACCUGAUGGUAUCUUAAGCACGCAUGUAAUUAAGAUUAAAGAUUUAUCGGUGUACGAUGGGGAUGCGUUCCAUUAGGUAGUAGGCGGGUAACGGCCCACCUAGCCUACGAUGGAUAGGGGUUCUGAGAGGAAGGUCCCCCACAUUGGAACUGAGACACGGUCCAA
rnacentral:rRNA from 1 species